UACGUAGGGGGCUAGCGUUGUCCGGAUUUAUUGGGCGUAAAGAGCGUGUAGGCGGCCACGCAGGUCCGUUGUGAAAACUGGAGGCUCAACCUCCAGACGUCGACGGAAACCGUAUGGCUAGAGUCCGGAAGAGGAGAGUGGAAUUCCUGGUGUAGCGGUGAAAUGCGCAGAUAUCAGGAAGAACACCCGUGGCGAAGGCGGCUCUCUGGGACGGUACUGACGCUGAGACGCGAAAGCGUGGGGAGCGAACAGG
rnacentral:rRNA from 1 species